rnacentral:lncRNA from 1 species
CUCAGCCAUCAUUUUUCAAGUAUAUAGAUAUACAGAGAUAAAUAUAUGUCGCCAUAAAGAGGGAAGAAUUUAUUACAAGACCACCUAAGGGAAGUUAACAUUGCCUGGGAAUCAAAGGUUGAAAACCUGAGGGAAAUUCUCAGGUAAGGAGAAAGGGGGAGGGGGGCAGAAGAAGAAAGAGCAAGUGUUUGAAAAUACAAGGCAUAAAUAUUGACUACAUUGGUUUUGGAUAUAAGUAGGACUAUCUCGGGAUGCAACGGAAGGGGCCUAGCCCACGCCUCAGAGGUACGAAGUCCUUUAAGGUCCAGAGAGAUUCUCUCGCGUGCAGAGUUCUGGGGAUGAGAUGCAAUUCCGACCCUCUCGUGCUGCUUCGCUUUUUAGACCCAUUUCACAGGUGGAGGGGGAAAAGGGGGCGCUGUGGUGUCCACGUUUUCCAUCACUUUUCCUGGCUCCCACCCACCUCAGCCGGUCAUCUUCACUUCUCAAAAUUUUAGACUGGAUCAGGCCAAAGGCCUUAAGUCCAGCAUCCAUUUCCAAGAGUAGCCAGUUAUGACAUCUCCAAGAACCCCAGAGGCAACAAAAAAAGGCAACAGCCCACUCACCUUGUCUUUCCUCCAUUCCCACCCCCGCCAAAAAAAAUCUGGUGUUCAGCUUCUAUUCCUAACCACCAGGAGAAUUAGCUACAACCAGUUGCCAAAAACCUGCCUGAGUUUUGUAAACCGUGGUGUUCUUUUGAUUGCACUGUAUAAAUAAAUAGUAAUAAAUCUGGGGGCUGAAAUUGGCUUUUAGUGGCACAUUGUUUGGGGCAGAUUAGCUUCCUCCUGUGCAAGCCCAGUCGUUUCAGGCAAAUCAGGGCAGCGUUGUAUUUUUUAAAAGCAAGAAGUUAACGUUAAGCCUCAGUAGCCAAAAAGUGGAAGUUCCUUUGCAUAUAUUUGCAUACACGGCAGAAAUUUAUCCCACUUCUCGGCCACAUGACAGACAGCCGCUAGAAACCCUACGGACUCCCUUUUCUAGCUAAUGAGGCUUCUCCAGACUUUGCCCACAAACUUUUAAACUUUUAAACCCUUAACACACUUUGCUUUUGUCACUCAGUUUAGUUUUCUCUUUAAAAUGAAAGCUGAAUUUGAUGCCUCCCCCAAAAUGGCGGGUGAAGGAGAUUUGCCAUGGUCUAGCAAAGGAAUUUUAGCUGGACUCCUUUGCACACAGAAGGUCCAGCGUUCAACCUGGCGCCCUCAAAGUCUCGCCGGACUACGGCUCCCACCACCCCUGGCCAUUGGACAGUACCACCUGGGGCUGAUGGGAGUUGUAGUUCUGUGGUACCUGGAGGGCCAAAGGUUCCCGGCUCCAGGAGUCAGUGAUGGGGAAGAUGUUCUGCCUGGAGAGCUUCUGCUGGUCAGAGCUGGCAUUGAUGGGUGCGUGGCCUUCCUGAUGCCAUCGGACUACAACAGCUUGGACUACGACAGCUAUCAUAGAAUCACAGAAUUGUAGAGUUGGAAGGGACCCCAUCUAGUCCAACCGCCACAACGCAGGCAUCGGAACUAAAGCAUCCAUGCAUGCAUGCCUAACUCUGUCUCUCUGAAACAUCUGAAUCGGGAAUGGCUGGGAAGGCCCAGGACUGGGGCCUCGAUGCGGUGGGAGGGAGGGGGAGGGUUAAUAAAGUGAGAGGUUCUCUGGUCCAGGAAGCUGCUAAGUUGCCUGCCCUGAAUGGGGCCGCACGCUCCCUGAAGUAGCAAGUGUGUGGUUUGGAGUUUUUUAAUUCAUGUUCUGGUCUGUGUCUUUUUAAACCACCUCUCUGCUGCUGUCCUUGAAUUUCGUACAUUGCAUGCAUGGAAGGCGAUACAAUUUGGAACAAUAAUAAUGCAGUGGUACCUCGGUUUUUGAACGUAAUCCGUUCUGGAAGACCGUUGGGCUCCCAAAACGUUCAAAAACAGAGGAUCAAUGGGCUGGCUGCAAAGUCACUGGGAAGAAAUGAAAAAACGCGCCUUGGAAGCUGUUCAACUUCCAAGGCGCGUUCAAAAAUGGAAGCAAUUACUUCUGGGUUUUCGGCGUUCGGGUUCCGAAUUGUUCGGCUUCUGAGAUGCUCGAAAACCGAGGUUCCGCUGUAAUAACAACUCUGGUCGCCCCUGACCAUUGAGCCAGGCUGCCUGGGGCUGAUCUGGGAGUCCAGCCUCAUCUGUUUCCCCUCUCUGUAGUGGAAGAUACCGAACUAGACCGACUUAUAGCACGACCUGGUAUGAGGCAGCUGCCUACAGCAGGGGAAGGUUGCCAACUGUCCAAAACCAGGGCCGGCCAUUUGCAGUUCGAAGACGCGGGGUUAAUCUUCACACGAAGAAAACACAAGGAGAGCCCACUGGAUCUGACCAAGAGGGUCCAAGUCUGGCAUCCGGGUUCCCAGCCAAUCGGAUGCUUCCAGGAAGCUCCCAAGCAGGGUGUUGAAGAGACAGCCCUCCUGUAUCGCUGCCUUGCUAGAUGGGUGCAGCUGGGGGCCGGCCCCCUACCCC